UACGGAGGGUGCAAGCGUUAUCCGGAUUCACUGGGUUUAAAGGGUGCGUAGGCGGGCAGGUAAGUCAGUGGUGAAAUCUCCGAGCUUAACUCGGAAACUGCCGUUGAUACUAUUUGUCUUGAAUAUUGUGGAGGUAAGCGGAAUAUGUCAUGUAGCGGUGAAAUGCAUAGAUAUGAUAUAGAACACCGAUUGCGAAGGCAGCUAACUAAGCGAUGAUUGACGCUGAGGCACGAAAGCGUGGGGAUCAAACAGG
rnacentral:rRNA from 1 species